AGACAGCAGCAGCCGCGGGAAUACGAAGGGUGCAAGCGUUACUCGGAAUUACUGGGCGUAAAGCGUGCGUAGGUGGUGGUUUAAGUCCGUUGUGAAAGCCCUGGGCUCAACCUGGGAAUUGCAGUGGAUACUGGGUCACUAGAGUGUGGUAGAGGAUAGUGGAAUUUCCGGUGUAGCAGUGAAAUGCGUAGAGAUCGGAAGGAACAUCUGUGGCGAAGGCGACUAUCUGGGCCAACACUGACACUGAGGCACGAAAGCGUGGGGAGCAAACAGGAUUAGAUACCCGUGUAGUCCCUGUCUCUUAUAC
rnacentral:rRNA from 1 species